AUGGGAACGCGAAGAACCUUACCUAGACUUGACAUCUCCUGAAUAGUGUAGAGAUACAUGAAGCCCUUCGGGCGAGAAGACAGGUGGUGCAUGGUUGUCGUCAGCUCGUGUCGUGAGAUGUUGGGUUAAGGUCCCGCAACGAGCGCAACCCUUAUUACUAGUUGCUACCAUUAAGUUGAGCACUCUAGUGAGACUGCCCGGGUUAACCGGGAGGAAGGCGGGGAGUGACGUCAAAUCAUCAUGCCCCUUAUGUCUAGGGCAACACACGUGCUACAAUGGUGAGUACAGAUAGAUGCGAUACCGCAAGGUGGAGCCAAACUCUAAAACUCAUCCCAGUUCGGAUUGUAGGCUGCAACUCGCCUACAUGAAGUUGGAGUUGCUAGUAAUCGUAGAUCAGAAUGCUACGGUGAAUACGUUCCCGGGUCUUGUACACACCG
rnacentral:rRNA from 1 species